rnacentral:rRNA from 1 species
AUGGGCUCUUUCUGGUGGAGGAACAUCCUCAAGCUCCUUCCUCAGUUCAAGCCAGUCGCAAGAGGGGUAAUUGGUCAGGCUGCUGGGAAUCUUUACUUGGUCAUAGGCACAGAGGAGUCUCUCUUUAUGAAGAGCGUCGCCGACCUCUUCGCCGGGCUGCUCAAGUCGGGCCUGGAGCACCUGCGCAUGGGCGACACGGCAAGAUCGGGUUCGCCGUCAAGUGAGGCCAUCGUGCGUGGCGUCUUCCCGCGCGACUCGAGCCCCAAGUACCUCGCCAUCCCCCACAAACACUACGCCUGCCGCGUCCGCAACCGGCUCUGCCGCGAGGUGCAGGUGCCGCUCCGCAAGGUGCUCGAGCUUCCCGAGGUCUACAUGAGCCCCUGCAAGUGGGACGAGCUGCCGUACGUGCGUGUGGCGUCCACGGCCAUGCGCCAGUACAAGGAGGCGUCUUGGAUGUGCUUCUUUCUUCUGAUCAUGGGUUCGGCGACGGCGGCCGGAAGCCAGGAGGGCUGGCCAAGGAAGAGGGUGAGGACGUGGGGAUUGAAGAGGGUUCCUAUGCAUAUUGUUCAUUGCAAUGGUAAAGCAUCGUCAGCACUGUAUUGA